GGGCUCACUUCAGCAGCACACAUACUAAAAUUGGAAUGAUACAGCGAUUAGUAUGGCCCCUGUGCAACAAUGACAUGCAAAGUGCUGAAGGAUCAGGUGGGUAG
ensembl:snRNA U6 U6 spliceosomal RNA